GCAGGGCCUGGUGGCACAGGCCUGUAAUCCCAGCAGCUCAGGAGGCUGAGGCAGAAGGAUUACAAGUUCAAAGCCAGCCUCGGCAAUUUAGUGAGGCUCUAAGCAACUUAGAGAGACCCUGUCUCUA
rnacentral:sRNA from 1 species